ACGGAGGAUCCAAGCGUUAUCCGGAUUUAUUGGGUUUAAAGGGUGAGUAGGCGGGCCCUUAAGUCAGUGGUGAAAGUUUGCAGAUUAACUGUAAAAUUGCCAUUGAAACUGAGGGUCUUGAGUGUAAAUAAGGUAGGAGGAAUGUUUUGUGUAGCAGUGAAAUGCUCAGAGUUAGCUCAGAACAGCAAUUGCGGAGUCAGCUUACUGAGAUACAACUGACUCGAAAGCUCGAAGUUGUCGUUAUCAGACAG
rnacentral:rRNA from 1 species